rnacentral:rRNA from 1 species
UGGGGAAUAUUGGGCAAUGGGCGCAAGCCUGACCCAGCAACGCCGCGUGAAGGACGAAGGCCUUCGGGUUGUAAACUUCUUUGAUCAGGGACGAAACGAAUGACGGUACCUGAGGAACAAGCCACGGCUAACUACGUGCCCGCAGCCGCGGUAAUACGUAGGUGGCACGCGUUAUCCGGAUUUACUGGGUGUAAAGGGCGUGUAGGCGGGUCUUCAAGUCGGAUGUGAAAUUCCCGGGCUUAACUCGGGCGGGUCAUCCGAAACUGCAGAACGUGAG